ensembl:lncRNA
UAUUACCGAGGCCGGAAAGGGCCAAUGACACAUGUCGACGGUAGUGUCACAGCUUCCGUUACGGCUGGUUAUAACGGAGUAAAGUGUCUUCUUUCGGGUGCUCAGCAUCAGUGAAAAUGGCUGUGGCUGGCGAGGGGAGAACAGCACGCAGACAGGGACUCGGCGGAGGACGGUGAGCAGCCGGACGGAGAAGGCGUGACGGGCCUCAUCCAUCUCGAUGCGUAGGGUCACGUAUUUCCAUUAAAAUGAGAGGCAAUCCAAUAGGUGAUAACACAUCCCCCUCCUCGGCCAGGGGACUCCUCUUCCACACUGUGCCGUUACUUUGGAUUAAGGGACACGGUAAGGAUAUAAAAGGUGAGCAAAUUGCGUUGUUUAUAAGGCAAUCUACACUAGGAACCAAUAAUUGUAUCUUAAUGCAUCAUCAAUUGGAAGUUUUAAGGGUUAUUGUCUUAAACGUAUUAGGAAUUGUGUCGUAUGUUUUCAUUAGGGAUUUCAGUGGUCAGGUUUUUUUGUUACGUUGGUUUAUAACAUGAUGUUAAUAGGCUAUGAUAUUUAUAUUUUUGAUCCGAUUUGGUGUGG